CAGAGGAAUGACGCCAGCAGAAGCAGAGAUGCAUUUCUUGGAAAAUGCCAAAAAAUUAUCAAUGUAUGGGGUAGAUUUACAUCAUGCUAAGCAUGGGGAAAGACUGUAUGUGGUACAUCUCCUAAGCUUGAUACAACGUCUCUGAUGACCUCUGGACAUCACACAUCCAUAGGAAAUUACCUAAACAUGAAAUGUGCAAGUAGCAAAAGGAAAUUGCAGUUCUAGGAUG
rnacentral:lncRNA from 1 species